AGAGUUUGAUCAUGGCUCAGAGCGAACGCUGGCGGCGUACUUAACACAUGCAAGUCGAACGGGGAUCAUUGUGUGAGCAAUCAUGUGAUGGUCCUAGUGGCGCACGGGUGAGUAACACGUGGGUAACCUGCCCUCGAGACCGGGAUACCCCUUCGAAAGGGGGGCUAAUACCGGAUACGUUCCCUGGGUCGAAAGAUCUGAGGAAGAAAGGUGGCGCAAGCUGCCGCUCUUGGAGGGGCUCGCGGCCUAUCAGCUAGUUGGCGGGGUAACGGCCCACCAAGGCUAUGACGGGUAGCUGGUCUGAGAGGACGACCAGCCACACGGGGACUGAGACACGGCCCCGACUCCUACGGGAGGCAGCAGUGGGGAAUUUUCCGCAAUGGGCGAAAGCCUGACGGAGUGACGCCGCGUGUGGGAUGAAGGCCUUCGGGUCGUAAACCACUGUCAGUGGGAAAGAUGGGUGUCGGCGCGAUAACCGCCGGCAUCUGACGGUACCUGCAGAGGAAGCCCCGGCUAACUCUGUGCCGGCAGCCGCGGUAAGACAGAGGGGGCAAGCGUUGCUCGGAAUUACUGGGCGUAAAAGGGCGCGUAGGCGGGAUGGCAAGUCGGUCGUGAAAUCCCUCGGCUCAACUGAGGAGCGUCGAUCGAAACUGCCGUUCUUGAGGGUUGCGAGGAGACUGGAAUUCCCGGUGUAGCGGUGAAAUGUGUAGAGAUCGGGAGGAACACCGGUGGCGAAGGCGGGUCUCUGGGCAACUCCUGACGCUGAGGCGCGAAAGCGUGGGGAGCAAACGGGAUUAGAUACCCUAGUAGUCC
rnacentral:rRNA from 1 species